CCUACGGGAGGCAGCAGUGAGGAAUAUUGGUCAAUGGACGAGAGUCUGAACCAGCCAAGUAGCGUGAAGGAUGACUGCCCUAUGGGUUGUAAACUUCUUUUAUAUGGGAAUAAAACGUUCCACGUGUGGGAUUUUGUAUGUACCAUAUGAAUAAGGAUCGGCUAACCCCGUGCCAGCAGCCGGGGUAAUACGGAGGAUCCGAGCGUUAUCCGGAUUUAUUGGGUUUAAAGGGAGCGUAGGUGGAUUGUUAAGUCAGUUGUGAAAGUUUGCGGCUGAACCGUAAAAUUGCAGUUGAAACUGGCAGUCUUGAGUACAGUAGAGGUGGGCGGAAUUCGUGGUGUAGCGGUGAAAUGCUUAGAUAUCACGAAGAACUCCGAUUGCGAAGGCAGUUCACUGGACUGCAACUGACACUGAGGCUCGAAAGUGUGGGUAUCAAACAGGAUUAGAUACCCUAGUAGUC
rnacentral:rRNA from 1 species